UGUCAAGGCGGGACGCUUUAGAUUCUAGAGAGCAUUUGAUUGGACAGAGGAUCUGAUGAGAAGCUAAAGUGCAUGGUGAUGUUAUGAAAAUACGUGAUCCAUUCAAGUGAGAGACUGAUCAGGUUGAGCAAAUAGCAAGAGGCAGAGGCUGAAAGAGGAAGUGCUUUUACCUGGGCAGAGGUGCUGAUGGCCAUGAGCUCCCUGUUAUGUUGGAGACGCUUAGAAAAACAAACGUUAAACAGACCCAAUUCCUUAACUAAUGAGCUGGCAUUCUAAUCUCUUUCAGAGUUUAGCCUGAC